AUGAAGGUCGUCGCUUUCAACUGCCGGAGGCUUGGGAACCAGCCGGCAGUCGAGGGCCUUCUGGAGCUACAGAAGGCUGAAGACCCUGACAUCCUCUUUCUUUCAGAAACAAAGCUGGACAGGGAGAGGAUGAAGCGAAUUAAGGUGUUGUUGGGAAUGCCCAACAUGGAGGUAAAGGACUGUGAGGGGCAAAGCGGUGGCUUGGCCCUUCUCUGGAAGAAGGAUGUAAAUGUAAGAGUGAACCCUGGGAUGUCGCGCUACCACAUCGACGCCGACGUCACUGGGGAGGAUGGGUUCGUCUGGAGGCUUACUGGUAUUUAUGGUGAGCCGAAGCACGGGGAGAAAGAGAAGACUUGGAAACUCUUGCGCAUCCUUCAUGGACGUUCCUCUCUGCCUUGGAUGUGUUUUGGUGACUUCAAUGAGAUCCUCUUCGCAAGUGAGAAGUAG
rnacentral:rRNA from 1 species